CAGCAUGCGUCCAGGGCGAGGUUGAUCUAGGGUUCGUCGGCUGAGUGGGCGAUCUCCUUUAGCAUUAAGGAUUAGCGCUUCUUGAAAAUUUUUACGUUCUUAAUUAACAUUUGCACGACGCACCCCGGGCUACUCUGAUUUAUCUCCAUGACGGUGAUAGCCCCAUUGCUCGUGCUAGAGUGCAGCCGUUUAGUGUUGCAGGUUUGCCUUGCUUCCACGGCUUAUCUGUGUCAAAAUAACGGCGAGAUUCCUUUAUCAUGAUAAAGCAUAUGAAAAUGAAGCUAGUCAUAGAGGCCGAGAUCUAAUCUUCGGCGGUGUUCACGUGGGGGCCUAUCUUUUCAAUGUUUGUGCCUCUAAAAACUUCCGCUAUAUAUAUCUUUUUAUCCCAAUUUGAAUCGACUUUUAUGGUUUGUGGUUUUGUUUUCUUAUUUAAAAGUUUCGUUUUGAGGGUGAUAGUUAAGAGUUGUUGGCUAUGAUUACACAUUAUCCGCGCUUCCGAGGUUAAACGAUGAAGCAAACUUAAAAACAAAUGGUUGAAUUUCUUGAUAUGAGCCACAUUUCGUCUAUCAUUAAUUUAUUUAAAUUUCGCUAAUUUAGUUGCUGCUUUCAAAUCUGGCCGUGAUGAUUGACAUUCAGCUUAUAUGCCAGUUCUGCUUCAGAAUUUGAUGAUUGAUAAAGCUGUUACAUAUUAUCUGAGUCUUAAAUCUGCAUAUCAAAAUUGUUUUUUCUAUUUUACAAUUGGCCCCUUAUAGGUUAUAGUUUAUGUAAAUCCAUAUGUGAAUAUAAAAUUUUCCAAUGAUGAUAUAAUCCGUUUGUCUGAGACAUUGUGGAUCCAAGACCCUGUUUCAGGGAGAACCUACUUGGUGAAGCCUUGUUCAUAUGAUAUCAAUGGAUUUAACUGAGGGUUCACCAUGAUUUGUUUAAUGCACAAUUGUUCUACCUUUUCGUGUUGAAAUCAUUUGAUAUUAGAGUUUUUUUUUUUUUUUUUUUUUUUUGAUUUUAGCCUUUGAUGAUACAAUCCAACUUUCUGAGAUGUUGUGAAGUCAAGACCCUGUUUCAGGGAGAACCUACUUGGUGGAAUAACAUUUGUACGAGUUAUAUGGAUUUCGCUGAGGUUUCUUUUUAGUUUUAUUUAAUUUUAGUCUUGAUUCAAAAUUUUGUUUAUUUUACCAUUUUUAUUACUUGAAUACUUGGUUUAGGAUGUUUCCUUGAUUUGAGUUUAACUAUACACAUCCCUUUUAUAAUGUGGGAAUGUAGUCUGAAAAACUCAGAAAUUGUGUGUUGUCAUCAGCUUCUUCUCGCCAAAUUAGGAGGUUGGAGUUAAAUAACAGCACUAAAUUCACCAAACCAUUGUAGUAUUCUAUUUUUCAUUUGUUUGUAGACUAAUGUGUUCUCGUCAUAGGCUUUGUUUUGUUUGUUUUGUCCUUGUGUUUCUUCUGCAGAUUGAGUUCAAUGCGAGGUGUCGUUUAUUCAUCCGUUAUGUGAUGGUGGAAGCCGUUUACGAAAGCAAUCGCCUGUUGUAUCGUAUUCGAAUUUGUAUUUGUAGAUCAUGUUUCUUUGUACUCUUUUUCGACUUUAAUUUCAAAUUCAAAUUGCUAAUUGGCCCAUGUUUCUGUAUCCCAGAUGUUACAAUGAUAUUGAUAUUGUUUUAUGUUAA